ACGAACGCUGGCGGCACGCUUAACACAUGCAAGUCGAACGGCAACGGGUCCUUCGGGAUGCCGGCGAGUGGCGAACGGGUGAGUAACACGUGGAGACCUACCCUGGGGUGGGGGAUAACAGCUAGAAAUGGCUGCUAAUACCGCAUACGCCUUACGAGGGAAAGAUUUAUUGCCCCAGGAGGGUUCCGCGUCGGAUUAGGUAGUUGGUGAGGUAAAGGCUCACCAAGCCGACGAUCCUUAGCUGGUCUGAGAGGAUGAUCAGCCACACUGGGACUGAGACACGGCCCAGACUCCUACGGGAGGCAGCAGUGGGGAAUAUUGGACAAUGGGCGAAAGCCUGAUCCAGCAAUGCCGCGUGAGUGAUGAAGGCCUUAGGGUUGUAAAGCUCUUUUACCAGGGAUGAUAAUGACAGUACCUGGAGAAUAAGCUCCGGCUAACUCCGU
rnacentral:rRNA from 1 species